rnacentral:rRNA from 1 species
CAGCAGCCGCGGGAAUACGAAGGGUGCAAGCGUUAAUCGGAAUUACUGGGCGUAAAGCGUGCGUAGGCGGUGAGUUAAGUCUGCUGUGAAAUCCCCGGGCUCAACCUGGGAAUGGCAGUGGAUACUGGCUCGCUAGAGUGUGUCAGAGGAUGGUGGAAUUCCCGGUGUAGCGGUGAAAUGCGUAGAGAUCGGGAGGAACAUCAGUGGCGAAGGCGGCCAUCUGGGACAACACUGACGCUGAGGCACGAAAGCGUGGGGAGCAAACAGGAUUAGAUACCCCCGUAGUCCCUGUCUCUUAUAA